UACGAAGGUCCCAAGCGUUGUUCGGAAUCACUGGGCGUAAAGCGUGUGUAGGCUGCGCGGAAAGUCAAAUGUGAAAGCCCGGGGCUCAACCUCGGAACUGCAUUCGAUACUCCCGUGCUAGAGUAAUGGAGAGGUAAGUGGAAUUCCUGGUGUAGCAGUGAAAUGCGUGGAUAUCAGGAGGAACAUCAAUGGCGAAGGCAACUUACUGGACAUUUACUGACGCUCAGACACGAAGGCUAGGGUAGCGAAA
rnacentral:rRNA from 1 species